rnacentral:rRNA from 1 species
UACGUAGGUGGCGAGCGUUGUCCGGAUUUACUGGGCGUAAAGAGCGCGCAGGCGGUCGUUCAAGUCGCGUGUGAAAGCCCCCGGCUCAACUGGGGAGGGUCACGCGAUACUGAUCGACUCGAAGGCAGGAGAGGGUAGUGGAAUUCCCGGUGUAGUGGUGAAAUGCGUAGAUAUCAGGAGGAACACCAGUGGCGAAGGCGACUACCUGGCCUGUUCUUGACGCUGAGGCGCGAAAGCUAGGGGAGCAAACGGG